UAUGCCACGGCUGCAUCAGGAGGCAGGUUCAGUUAGAAAUGUGAGCUCUUCCUCAAGAUCGGCUGCAAGGCCAGUAAAGCUUCUUCCUGUGUCAGCUCUUUGCUUGUGCUCAUUAAGUAGUACUAAGAUGUGUUGAGGGGUGGGAUUAGCCUAUUUCGUUGCUAAUAAAAAACUAUCUGAAGCUGCAUAUAUUGUAAGGAAAAAGGUAUAUUUGGAUCAAAGUUUAAAAGUCCAAGAUUGAGUGGCUCUAUCCACUCAGUCUCUGGUGAGGACCCCCGUCUGCAUCACACAGUGGCAGAGAACAAAUGGUCACAGGGAGAACUGUUGUGGUUUGCCCUGAAGUUAUCUGUAUUUUGAUGCUAAUUCCACUGCCCCAAGGACAGCUGCCUAGUCAGUACUCAGGAAUCAGGUGACUUCACCAGAACCUUCUCCCCAUUGAAUUUGUAAAGUACAGGUGAGGGGCAGGUACAGGAUAGAAGGAGGCCUGUCAUUGGAGGAGAAGGAAGGAUGGGCGGGAGAGAAGUUUGAAGGAAGAGGAGGAGACGAGGAGAGGAAGAGACAGGAGAGAGGAGAGAGGGCAGAAGCCAUGGCAGGGGAUGUUAAGAUUCUUCUCUGUGUAUUUACAGGUUGUUAUCAAUAUUCCUAAGGGAUGGAUGGUACCGGGCUAUGUAUGUUUAAGUGGGCAAUUAUAUCUUAUCAAUUGGAUCUAAGAUUAUUGUGUCGUGUGUUCUUUUAUUGAGGGUUUGAGUGUAGGAAAGUGUGUGGCUGGGAUGUGUUUCCACCAAGAUAUCUAGCAGAUAUCUAGGGGCACCACAGUGCAGACCUAGCGGGGUAAAAGACACCAUACUUAUUUAUUUUUUAUAUUUUUACAACAACAGAGAACUAGCUAAUGUGGGAUGGCAUCAAUUUCUAACAAUCCACUCUAAUAAGAAUAGCUUACUGUGGAACCCUAGGCUCUCCACAGUGUACAGGAAACUUCUAAAAAAAAAUGAACCUUUGGGGGUACUCUCAGAUCGUACCAAAACCACAGAAAGGGGAUACCCCAACUCUAGAAAGGGAGUAUUUAAGGAAGCUGAGUCAAAGUGUGGUAGGGGAAAGGCCAGCAUCAGUCUAUCUCCUGGCUCACUGUCUGAGUAUAUGAAUAAGAAAACCUACAAACAGGAGCUGAACUGCCACCAAUCUUCAGAGCACUGAAACUAGAAUAGUCCCCUCCUGCCGCUUACUCUUUCUCAAAACGAUCAAUACACACAAGACGUGCCACCUCUGUGUAACCAAGUAGAAAUUCUAUUCUAUUCCCAAAGUAUGCAAUGUCUGGGGCACAAUAAAUCAUAUAAGAGCUUAAUAGCCCAUGAGAUCCCUCUAGAACCUGUCUGCUCAGUAUCACUCAAAAGUAGUCCUUGUAGUCUGCCAGGCACUUUUUAAUGACUUUGGAGUUUCAGCUCAUUAAUGUUAAUUCAACUGAAACAGAUCACAGACAUAUAAUGAAAUUUUGAACGAUUCUCCUUAGCUGAAAUUUCCUGGCUCAAAAAAACUUCGUAUUUUUCAAAUUAGGAUAGAACUCUGCUUCACUCUUAAGUGAAUGCUGAUGUGUUUCGCUGUGUUUGUUAGUUUUUUUUGCCAACUUGUCUCAAGCGAGGCUCUUCUGGGAAGAGGAGAAUGAACCUCAACUGUGAAAAUGCCUCUGUCAUAUCGUCCUGUAGGCAAACCUGGAGCCAUUUUCUUGGUUAAUUAUUAAAGUAGGAAGACUCAGCACACUGUGGGAGGUGCUAUCCCUGGGCUGGUGGCCCUACGAUAUGCAAAAUAUCAGGCUGAGCAAGUCAUGGGAACAAGCCCGUGAGCAGCACCCCUCCAUGGCUUCUGCUUCAGUCCCUCAUCAAGGUUUCUGCCUUGAACACCUGCAUUGACUUCUGCUAAUGAUGGGCUAUACCUGGAAAUACAAGAAGAAAUAAACACUUUUCCAUUCUAAAUUGCCUUUGAUCAUGAUAUUUUUAUCAUAACAAUAGAAAAUAACUAAGACAAUUGCCUAUUUUAAUGUCUGACUCUAUUUUAGGAUAAUGGCCACAGGUCCUGAAUAUUUUAAAAGAAAACUUCAUAUGGUAUACUCUAAGGAGAUGGGGAAAUAUUAGACUUUUUAAAAAUGGGUGAUAUAGUGCUCACUCUUUGAAUCUGGCUUCUUAAUCAACUGAAACAGAUCAUAGAUAUUUCUAUGAAAUAUUAAAUAUAAGCAUAUUAAAAUUCUUAAAUAUUAAAAUGUGAUGAAAUGUGCAGCUUUUACAAACUUCCUAUUUUUCAAAUUAGGAUAAAAUUAUGUACUCUUAAGUGAAACAAUGUUAUGAUGCUUUCCUGGUUAGACUUUUGUCAGCUUGACACAAGCUGGAGACACCUGGGAGGAAGGACCUCAAUUGAGAAGAUACUCUCUCUUGCCAAUUUACGAGCAUGGCUUUUCCCUACAUUUUAUUUCCUAAGGGCUUUCAAAAGGAUAUUUAAAUUAUUAAUAUGUGCUAUUAUAUCAUAUAAUAUCAUACUCCAGAGAAAUGUUAAAGUGUAAAUAAGAUUAUAUGCAGAGAAGAAAAUGUAAAUUGUAUUAUCUUUGUUAUCUGUAAGCUAAAUACAGGUAAUGCAUCUGUGGCUUAGAGAACACGGAAGUGCUGAUUAAAACUCAGACUAAAUGUUUUGGCAUCCUGCAGUCAAGGAGUCAAAUCCCACAUCCUUUAUUCUCUUGCCACGUUGCUAUGAAAAGUUGAGCAGACUGGAUAAUUUCGUGUGAAAUUCUGUAAUAUUUGUUCCCUAGUCUGUCUAAUGGGAGCAACACCUUUGCAUAAGCAAGAUGCUAAGUAGAACACCCGAUAGAUGGCAGGUACUUGAUCUAUAUGUCUUCUUCUCUCUUCUGGGCCUUUCUCCCAGGGAUCCAUCUGACACAAAGGGCCUAUCUUCUCGCACAGCUCAAAAUGUUGCCCCACCUUCAACAUGCCACCCUCACCUGCAAGCAGUCUUCACUCUUGAUGCUGUGCAAGGAAUAGAGCACAGGGGGCAACAUGGGCAAAGCAGGCGUUAGAUGCUUCAAAUUGUCUAGGCAUGGUGUUGGAAGACGAGAAGAAACUAAAGAACAGCCUAGUGUCUUUGCCUAUGAGGAAACAUGCCAGCCCAGCAGAGAAACCAGAGGCACAAGUUUGGCCUCAGAGUGCAGCAUGGGGUGACUGUGGCACACAUCACAUACUGUCAGUAUGUGACCUUCAGUAAGUGCUUGAAAAAAACAGAACUGCUUGUGUUCUCUUUACCCGAAGUCAAGAAGACUGUAUUACUUUAUGGGGACUGCCACCAUAAACUUCAAGCCAUCAGGCAGUAUUUUACAACAAAAAUAAAUUCUCUUAUACCUCAAAUGAACAAAUAUCAAAACCAAAGUGUCCAAAGGCCCCAAGAAAAGAAUGCUUUUUGGCCUCUUCCAGCUUGUAGCUCUGGUAUUCUCUGCUUGUGGCAGCUAAUAUCUGCCUCAGCUCUGUCUUCAUGUGAUCUUGCUCUCUAUUUUCUCCUAUACUAGUGGUUCUCAACUUUCCUAAAGCUCUGACCCUUUAAUACAGUUCCUCAAGUUAUGGUGACCCCCAACCAUAAAAUCAUUUUCAUUGCUACUUUCAUAACUGCAAUUUUGUUACUGUUAGGAAUUGUGUUGUAAAUUUUUGGAGAUAGAAGAAAGGGGUCACAGGUUGAGAACCAAUAUCCUACAAGGUCCUCAUCAUUGCAUUAAGUCUGUCCUAAAUUCAACAAUCUUUAGCUAAUUGUAUUUGAAAGAAUCAUGCUCCCAAGUAAAGGCAUAGUCUAAGUUCUGAGAGUCACAUCCUGAGAGGGAACAAGAUAAAACAUUCAGGACCAACUGGCGGUAAAUGAACUUUGACUAACUGGGCCAAUGGAAAAGUUGGAGCUCUCAGGACUGGACACUCACAGGAAACAAAAAUCCAAUCCAGCCAUUGCCUCUCCCUCUGUUGCUCAUCCAUUCUGGUCUGUCUAGGUCACCAGCAUUCUCUCCUGUCAUAGACUGGCCUGUCAAUAAAACUUAAUGACAGAGCCCUGACAGCAUCAACCCCUGUAUCCUUCCAACUUCACAGUCAGAAAAGAACAAAUCAUAGCACCCAAUUUUGGCCAGGAAAUCUUAGGACUAACUGUGCUCCCCCCAAAAAGAGAGCUAUUCGAAAAAGAAGUCUUGGAAAAGAGAUUUUGUAAACAUAUUCUCUUCAGAGACUCCAUAAAGGAAUCAAAAGGACUAAAGUUGUUACCAAGGUAAAGGGUCAAAAAGCAGUGUUUUGACUUGAAAUAUUUCAUAUCUAUUUAUAAAAGGAAUUGUUGUUCUUUUGAUAAAGUAACAAUCUAAAAAAUCUUAAAGCAUUAGGACCAAAAUCAAAGGGACCAAU